CGGCGGACGGGUGAGUAAUGCUUAGGAAUCUGCCUAUUAGUGGGGGACAACAUUCCGAAAGGAAUGCUAAUACCGCAUACGUCCUACGGGAGAAAGCAGGGGACCUUCGGGCCUUGCGCUAAUAGAUGAGCCUAAGUCGGAUUAGCUAGUUGGUGGGGUAAAGGCCUACCAAGGCGACGAUCUGUAGCGGGUCUGAGAGGAUGAUCCGCCACACUGGGACUGAGACACGGCCCAGACUCCUACGGGAGGCAGCAGUGGGGAAUAUUGGACAAUGGGGGGAACCCUGAUCCAGCCAUGCCGCGUGUGUGAAGAAGGCCUUAUGGUUGUAAAGCACUUUAAGCGAGGAGGAGGCUACUAGUAUUAAUACUACUGGAUAGUGGACGUUACUCGCAGAAUAAGCACCGGCUAACUCUGUGCCAGCAGCCGCGGUAAUACAGAGGGUGCGAGCGUUAAUCGGAUUUACUGGGCGUAAAGCGUGCGUAGGCGGCCAUUUAAGUCAAAUGUGAAAUCCCCGAGCUUAACUUGGGAAUUGCAUUCGAUACUGGAUGGCUAGAGUAUGGGAGAGGAUGGUAGAAUUCCAGGUGUAGCGGUGAAAUGCGUAGAGAUCUGGAGGAAUACCGAUGGCGAA
rnacentral:rRNA from 1 species